AUUGAACGCUGGCGGCAGGCCUAACACAUGCAAGUCGAGCGCGCGGCGCACGCGUGUGUAAUGUAUGUGGACUGCCCGUUCGAGGGGGAUAACUCCUCGAAACGGUGUCUAUUACCCCAUACUCUCUGAUAACCCCUCUGGGAUUAGCUCGUAGGUAAGGUAAUGGCUCACCUAGGCGCCGAUCCCUAGCUGGUCUGAGAGGAUGAUCAGCCACACUGGGACUGAGACACGGCCCAGACUCCUACGGAGGCAGCAGUGGGGAAUAUUGAACAAUGGGCGCAAGCCUGAUGCAGCCAUGCCGCGUGUAUGAAGAAGGCCCUAGGGUUGUAAAGUACUUUCAGUCGGGAGGCGUUACCGACAGAAGAAGCACCGGCUAACUCCGUGCCAGCAGCCGCGGUAAUAC
rnacentral:rRNA from 1 species